rnacentral:rRNA from 1 species
UACGGGGGGAGCAAGCGUUGUUCGGAUUUACUGGGCGUAAAGGGCGCGUAGGCGGCGUGUCAAGUCAGGCGUGAAAGCCCCGGGCUCAACCUGGGAACCGCGCUUGAGACUGGCAUGCUCGAGUUCGGGAGAGGAUGGUGGAAUUCCCAGUGUAGCGGUGAAAUGCGUAGAUAUUGGGAGGAACACCAGUGGCGAAGGCGGCUACCUGGACCGGUUCUGACGCUGAGGCGCGAAAGCGUGGGGAGCAAACAGG